CACGUACGGUCAGCUGCUGCUGCUGCAGUCUUGCAGCCACCAUGCACUCCUCUGCACUCUGUGACUCCAGCACGGUUCUGUCCGAUCCUCUUUCGCAUGGUCUGAAUAAACGCUUAUAAACCUAACUCAGUGAUGAGAACGGCUCAACCGGAGCAGGGAGCAGCAUAAAGGCACCUGGUGUCAUGGCCUGAACUGUGACAGGAUCCAUUUGAGGAAGUAAAGGUUAUCUGUCAUGUUCGGACCUGCUUGACACAUACAGAUAAUUCAAGUCAAGCCCAACCAUUGGCUGCACAAUAUAACCCUAGUUGGACUGGAUGAUGGGAUUCUGAGUUUGCAGAUGAAGAUCUCUAUUUCUCUGGACCAUUGCUUCUUUGCUGUGCCCAUUUUUAUUUAAAAAAUAAAUAAAACAUUUUAAAAAAGGAACAGAUUGCUCGCAGGGUGAAGUGGAGCUACAAAGAGAGCCGUAACAACAAACCAAACCAGCUCUCUUUUGCUGCCAGAGGAACGUCUGCACACACACACACUCAAGAUUUUUACCUGGAUGGAAAAUCCCAUCUAUUUUUUUUUUUACAUUUCUUAUUUUGAUUUCUUCAGAGUGAUAUAUUAAGCGUCCUGCUGUGAAGCCACAAACAGUAUGAAGUGCGGCGUUUCUUUGGGGUCUCCUUCGGCGUGAGAUGGAUGGCGGUGAUGGAGAAUGUCUGACAGCUGGCGGCUCUGAGCAGAUGCUCUGUCAGCCGGCCCGCUUCUACAGCAGCGCCUAACACACGCAUCAGUCAUAACACAUCUCUGUGGAUGUGGAUCGAGCCAUCACAGAACUUCAGUUACAUUUUUCAAGCAACCCUGCAUUCUAGACUAAAAACUAGAAUGCAGCCAUAAAAGUUUUAUGUUGUCUGUAUCCCCCCCCCUCGACUCUUUACAUACUUGAGAUUAACUCAUUUAUGUGUUUCAUGCGUAUAAUUAAAAGAAACAGAGUAACUUUUAACAGGAAAUCUUGGAGCGAGCUCUUUAAUUUUUUAUUUGUGCACUGAAAAGCUGCCGAGCUGCUUAUUUUAAAUCCCUUUUUUUUUGUUUUUUUUUGUUA